AAAACCAAUCAGGGUAAGAGGAGAGAAAAUGAGAGGUUUGUGUGGUGUCUACUUUUUAACUGAGUGGUCAGGAAAGGUCACCCUGGGGCAACAAUAUAUGUCACCAAACCCCAACCACAGGGUUCACCUAUAGCAUUUAGUAUUUUACACUUAUCGUUGAUGGGCAGAAAUGAAAAGAAACAAAAAUAAAUCAGAAAAAAAAUCAUGGACGGUGUAGAAAUCAGAAGAAAACAUUUUAAACAGUUUACCUAUAAUUAAUAUAAUUAAUACCUGUCAUAAAAUGGGAGAGUGUCAUUUCAAAAAUUUUUGAAGACUUAAACAAAGGACAAAUUCUUAGAAAAAUACAACCCACCAAAACUGACCCAAGAAGAAGUAAGAAGCAUGUAUAAUCUAAAAACUAGAAGCAAUUAAAGCCAACACACAAAGUAAAUACCAGGCACAGAUGGUUAUACAGGUGAGAAAUAGCAUAUUCCUAUAUUAUGCAGGCUUUACUUAGACAUUAUGGAAGAAGGAAUAACAGCCACCUUAUUUUUAAGCCAGCAUUGCCCUGAUACAAAAACAAGAAAAAAAAAAUUCUCUAAGAAUACAGCAGACCCAUGUCAUUCAUGAAUAUAAAUAUAAUACUAAAUAAAAUAUUAUAAAUAAAAUUUAAUAGUGUCUGAUAAUCCAACCAAUUUUGCUUUAUACUAAGUAUGCAAGGAUUAUUUAAUAUUUUAAAACUCUUUACAUAUAAUUUAUUAAUAGAUUAACAGGGGUAAUCAUAUAAUGAUCUUCACAGAUGUAGAAAAAGCAUGUGGUAGUUACAGAUCUAUUCAUAAUAAAAAAUUCUUUAUAAAUUAUGAAUAUAAGGGAAUAUGAUUAACUCAUAAAGAGAAACGUUAAAGAAAACCUAAAAUUAACAUCAUCCUAGAUGAGGAAACAUCAGAAGUAUUCAUUGAAUAUGAUAAAUGAGCUAUAGAUUCCAACUACCAUCAUUUUUAAACCUCAAUAUAUUAGGGCCCUAGCCAUGCAAUAAAAGAAAAAAACAGAGGCACAAGGAUUGGAAAGCAAUAAAUGAAGCUGCUAUUUUUCAGAUCAUAGUACUUAAGAAUCCCAAAGAUUCUACAAACAACUUUAUUAGAAGUAACAAGGGGGCAGACAACUAGUAGGAACAAUUAUAUUAUAGUAUAAAAACUAAACUCCAUUUCUGCUCACCAGCAGCAAAACAAUGAGAAUGCAUUAUCAAAGAGAACUUAAAAUAAUACCAGUUCGCCAAGUAUCUAGAAACAACAAAAGAUGUACAAUAUCUCUAAAUGAGAAAUUAUGAAACCUA
rnacentral:lncRNA from 1 species